CCCUUAGAUGGUCUGGGCGGCACGCGCGCUACAAUGAUGCAUUCAAAAAGUCUUCUGACCUUAGAAGGUUGGGUAUUCUCCAAGGUGCAUCGUGAUGGGAAUAGUUUAUUGCAAUUUUUAAUCUUGAACGAGGAAUUCCUAGUAAGUACAGGUCAUCAACUUGUGUUGAUUACGUCCCUGCCCUUUGUACACACCGCCCGUCGCUCCUACUGAUUGAGUGUCUCGGUGAAUUCUUUGAUCUUCUGUCGAUUCAGUUCACUGAUCCGACGGUGGAAAGUUGAAUGAACUUCGUCACUUAGAGGAAGGAGAAGUCGUAACA
rnacentral:rRNA from 1 species